GACAGAGGGUGCAAACGUUGUUCGGAAUUACUGGGCGUAAAGCGUGCGCAGGCGGUUCUAUAAGACAGAUGUGAAAUCCCCGGGCUCAACCUGGGAACUGCAUUUGUGACUGUAGAGCUGGAGUACGGCAGAGGGGGAUGGAAUUCCGCGUGUAGCAGUGAAAUGCGUAGAUAUGCGGAGGAACACCGAUGGCGAAGGCAAUCCCCUGGGCCUGUACUGACGCUCAUGCACGAAAGCGUGGGGAGCAAACAGG
rnacentral:rRNA from 1 species